rnacentral:rRNA from 1 species
UACGUAGGGUCCGAGCGUUGUCCGGAAUUAUUGGGCGUAAAGGGCUCGUAGGCGGUUUGUCGCGUCGGGAGUGAAAACCUACAGCUUAACUGUGGGCUUGCUUUCGAUACGGGCAGACUUGAGGCAUGCAGGGGAGAACGGAAUUCCAGGUGUAGCGGUGAAAUGCGUAGAUAUCUGGAGGAACACCGGUGGCGAAGGCGGCAUCCUGGACCGGCAUUGACGCUGAGGCGCGAAAGCGUGGGGAGCGAACAGG